UCGAUGAACUGUCAUCACCAUCAUGUUAUGUUCCUGGCGGUGAUGAUGAUCAUGCUCUUCCCCAUGGGAGGCUGCUUUGGUGACACUGACUCAUCGCCGUCAGUCAACUGGGCUGCCUGGACGCAUGAGGUGGCACAUUGCAGCUGAACGGAUGCUUCGUCAAGUACAAUAAUGUGAGCUUCUUGGGGGUGCAAGACAAGACAGCUGUGAUAAAGAAUUGUGGACCCUCGAUUGGGUUGACCUCAGAUGCAAUGACCAGGAGGGAUGAGAUAGAAUCAUUAAUUUUUUGCAAUUAGCUUAAUAUCUAGACGAACACUCAGCCUUUAACAUUCAGAAUUGUCAGAUCCCUUCAUUACUUUCUAUUGUUAAUAUCUCCAACUAUUCACAAUCUUAGUUGCCUAACUCUCCUUGUAACACAUAAUUAAGCUAUAUCUUGUUUGGUAAUCUAAGUAUCUGACAUCCCUAAAGCCCUUUCCAUUCAAUGGGAGGUUCUCAUAAUUUUAGAUCUUUGAAUCUUCAAUUCAAGAACUUCUCUCUAUUCUUUUUGGUUUACUAGCUAGUUGUUAUUGUUUCCCGACAAGAACAAAACCAACUCUGAGGCUGAAUGAAACAGAAGAACUGCUCAUGGGAAAGCAAAACCAACUGUGCCACCUAAAGGAACGGUGCCACCUCCAGGUCCUUCAAAGAGGCAUAACACGUUGCCACUUCAAAAUUGAUCAAAUAAGUAUUUUUUUUAUUUUAUAAAAGGACAAAAACCCAGAGAAAAAACCUAAUUACAAACUAAAGGAGAAUUAAUUUCCACCAAAGUUCAUUUCCCAAAGUUGAGGCCAUUCUUCACUCCCCAAAGUUCUGCCAGAAAAGCCGUUCCAGCCCCUAUCUUAUGGGUGAUGCCUGCGAUCCAAUUUCCUUCUUCAUUCUUGAGGAGUCUGCUGCACCCAGUAACAACUGGGUUCCCUUGCGCCGUGCCGUCGGUAUUCAAUUUAAGCUAAUGCCUCGGAGGAAGCUGCCAGCCAAUGUUUCUCUCAGUUCUUCCUCUCCGCUUUCCUACCAAUAAUCAUUUCAGAGUCAACAGUGAGAUCAAUCGAGGAUGAUAACAUCAGAGGCAUUUGUGAAGAUCCAGGUUCCACAGAAGGUUUACAACGAAGUUAAGUUCCUGGUGAUAGUGGCUCCUCCUGCAGCAACGACAGUCUCACUUAUGGAGAGAAUACCUGAAUUCUUUAAUUCGGAAAAGAUGUGUCGUGGUGUUCGGAGGAUUUCCGAUCCAAAAUCCCUAUGACUUCAACGACGUUGUAGAAGCCUUCGGUUGGAAUGAGUUUCCCUACCACAGUGGCGCCGCUCCCCGCACCAAUGUUAUUGGCCGUAUGUUCACCGCCAAUGAGUCCCCACCAGAGCCAUUCCCGAAGUAGCCCUCGCAUGAGCGGGUUAUGGUGUUGGUGCCUUGGAUCUUUGGCGUCGGUCCAAGGAAGGUAAGAAAGGAGAAUUGGCCAUAGCUUUGAAGAGUGAUAGUGUGAUUGUUUUUGCUUCUGCGAUCUUAGGAGAGGAACUUAAUUGUGAAGGUUAGCAUUGGAGCGUGAAGAAUUGGAAGAGUAUGUGAGACAGUAGAGGAAGAGAGAAAAAGAGUUGAGGAUGAAGAGAAAAAGGAAAAUCUUGAGGAGCAAGGUGUUCCUUCAAUUCAUGAAGGAUGGGUGGGUUAGAAAUAUUUUGGUCAUUUUACAAUAGUUAAAUUAUAGUAUUGGUCCUAUACUUUUAUUAAAAUUGUAAAUUAGUAUCUACUGUUAAACAAUAAACACGUACAACUUACAUGUUGAA